UACGGGGGGGAGCAAGCGUUUGUUCGGAUUUACUGGGCGUAAAGGGCUCGUAGGCGGCCAACUAAGUCAGACGUGAAAUCCCUAGGCUCAACCUAGGAACUGCGUCUGAUACUGGAUGGCUUGAAUCCGGGAGAGGGAUGCAGAAUUCCAGGUGUAGCGGUGAAAUGCGUAGAUAUCUGGAGGAAUACCGGUGGCGAAGGCGGCAUCCUGGACCGGCAUUGACGCUGAGGAGCGAAAGCCAGGGGAGCAA
rnacentral:rRNA from 1 species